rfam:Pteropus alecto contig27957, whole genome shotgun sequence.
AUCAUGUUCCAACGCAUUAUGUGAGUGUUCAAUCAAAGAAGUUAAGUUCUCCAGAACUGGCUCUGUCCUAAAGGUUAAAAC